AUGGAGACCGCCGUUCUUGCGCCACAGCAGGUCAACCCGGCUCAAGCGGCGGUGCCGCAGACCAGGAACGCGGCGGCCAUGGCCGCCAUGCGGAAGCUCGGCGCCACCUCGGCGAGGAGGAAGACGCUCUGCGACAUCACCAACCUGAGACGGCCGCUGGAGGCGGCGGCCGAUGAGGGGCAUCAGGACGGGUCGAGGUGCGCGGACGGCGUGGAUGCAGUCGCGCGGUUGGUCAAGGAGAACUCGGAUCUUGUGAAGCUCCUGGAGGAGAGAGACAAGUUCAUAGAGCUGAGCGGGGCUGAGCUCCAGAAUCUGCGGCUGGCAAACUGGCAGCUUGCGCAGGCUAAUUCCCAGAUGUUAGCAGAGCUAAAUCUUGGCAAAAAUAGGCUGAAAUCGCUACAACAUGAGCUUACCUGCUCCAGAGCUGCCCUCAAAGUAAAAUCAUCGGAACUUGAGGAGGCAAAGAAAGCGCUGAAGAGCAGCAGACUCCAGCAACAGAAGAGCGCGAACGAGACGGCACGCCACUUGGCUGCCGACAGAGCUGCAGCAGCUGCACAGCUCAAGGAUGGAGACGCGGAGCCCGCUUCGGAUGCGUCGCGUGCCGCCAGUGCCAAGAAGUCUACCUGCAACGCCAGCCGGAAGAGGCUGCUGAGAUCUCGAUCUCUGGGACCUGCGGUGGCGCCGACGAAGCUGGUGGCGGCGUCCAAGGAGAGGGAGAGCGCACAGAGGCGCAAGUCCAUGAGAACGCCUCAGCCGAGUGGGCGCAGGGAAGACUUGUUCGAGAUAGAGGACGUUCAGCUCACCGCCGGCGGUGGAGAUGACAAGAAGGAGACGUCGUGGGAGCUGGAUUCAUCGGUGCAGUUCCCACGCAGGUCGUCGCUGGGGAGGCCGCUCCGGCGGGCCACAGAGAAGGUCACCUCCUACAAGGAGAUGCCUGUCAACAUUAAGCUUAGGAGGCCCUAA
rnacentral:rRNA from 1 species